rnacentral:rRNA from 1 species
GUGCCAGCAUCCGCGGUAAUACCAGCUCCAGGGGCGUCUACGAUGAUUGCUGCGAUUAAGACGUUCGUAGUCUGGGGGCUAUAUUUUUCUGUAAUGGGCCGGCUUGAGGGGCGCGGAGGAAGGAUACUGGCUGUCUGAAGGAGCGACCGGGGGCCGGCUUAUUAUGUGACGAGGGGGGAAAUCUGAAGRCUCAUGUAGGAGGRGCAAGGGCGAAAGCACUGGCCAAGGGCGUAUCUGUUGAUCAAGGACGUAGGCUCGAGGUUCGAAUACGAUUAGAUACCGUAGUAGUUCGAGCAGUUAACGAUGCCGACUGUGCGACACGGAUGUGUUGUGCGCGAGAAAUUGAGUAGGGCUUUGGGGAGGGUACGCGCGCAASACUAAAUUUAAACGAAAUUGACGGAAGAAUAUCACAGGGAGUGGAGUGUGCGGCUUUCUAAUUKGACUCAACGCGGGAAAGCUUACCAGGCCCGAGAGCCGCACGAGUGAGUACACGAUAGGCUUGAGAGUGGUGCAUGGCCGUUAUCGACGAGUGGAGUGAUCUUUUGGUUAAUUCCGGUAAUUUGUGAUCUCSCUUUGAUGGGCGCUGUAAGGCGCAUGUGACGGGAUAAGAACAGGUCAGUGAUGCCCUUAGACGGUCUGGGCUGCACGCGCACUACACUACUGCCCCUAGUUGUGGAGRGAUGGAAUGGGCAGUACAAGGGAUUGUGCGCUGGAAUGCGCGCAUGAACGUGGAAUUGCUAGUAAUCGCAGGCUCAGUAGGAUGCGAAGAAUGUGUCACUGUUCUUUGUACACACCGCCCGUCGUUAUCGAAGACGUUGUUGGUAAUGAGGGAAUCUGAAUGACCGAAUUAUCAAUGAUGGAUCUGGUACAAGUCGUAACAAGGCAACUGUAGGAGAACCUGUAGUUGGAUCACGA